AGAACGAACGCUGGCGGCAUGCCUAACACAUGCAAGUCGAACGUGAUCCAUGACUUCGGUUGUGGUGAAAGUGGCAAACGGGUGAGUAACGCGUGGGAAUCUGCCCAGAGGUAGGGAAUAACCGCGGGAAACUGCGGCUAAUACCCUAUGUGCCCUACGGGGCAAAGAUUUAUCGCCUUUGGAGGAGCCCGCGUCGGAUUAGGUAGUUGGUAGGGUAACGGCCUACCAAGCCUACGAUCCGUAGCUGGUCUGAGAGGAUGAUCAGCCACACUGGGACUGAGAUACGGCCCAGACUCCUACGGGAGGCAGCAGUGGGGAAUAUUGGACAAUGGGGGCAACCCUGAUCCAGCAAUGCCGCGUGAGUGAUGAAGGCCUUCGGGUUGUAAGCUCUUUCGGCGGGAAGAUGAUGACGGUACCCGCAGAAGAAGCCCCGGCUAACGUUCGUGCCAGCAGCCGC
rnacentral:rRNA from 1 species